ensembl:lncRNA
CAGCACUCAUCUGAGAGGCAGGUAGUAAUGUAGAACUCGGAAUUAUCAGAGAAACUAAAUGGGAAAAUGACUUAACAGAAUUAUUGUAACUCCCAACAGCAACAAAUUAUUAAACUCGGUUCCAAAGGGAUAUUUAAAAAGGGAUGUUAAAAGUGGUUCCAAAGGAGCUGCAUUGUAGAGCAGAAAUGCUGAAGUUGUGUAACACCUUCCUACACAAACUUCCCUAACAUUUUGGGGGUACUGCUGGGAACUUCUGGUCCUGUUGCCUGUGUUGAUUAGGUCAAGAGGCCCACAGUGGGACAAGGAUGCGGUGAACCAGCCUGUGUGGGCCGUCAGAGAAGCGGUGUGGGUGUGGUCCCCAAAGCAGCUUGGGGGGGCAUCACUGACCUGAGCACCUGAGUUUCCUGUCUGGAUAACGCAGGAAUGGGGCUGCCCACUGUGACGUUUUCUCCUUUUAUAACACGGCUGGGGCAGUCCUUCCAAGAUGCCUGACCAAGGUGUGGAUGGUUCAGCCAGGCAGGGUCCAAGGGGCACUCUGAAGUGAGCCUGACCAGGGGUUCCAGAGGGAGGAUCGUUGCAGCCAGAGGGAUGGAGGGGAGAACGGGAAAGGCAGCAUUGAAAAGGCAACUUCCAGGUUCCCAGGAAUCAAGUCUGGACUCGGCCUCCUCCCCAUCUUCCGCCGCCUCCCCCGCAGUUCGCUUCCUUUCACCACCUGCGUGCCUGCGGGUCUUUGCAGAGUAUCCCCCUCGUCCAAGCCCAAGAAGCUACCUGCCUUUCUAACUGCUUGUGGGCACUGGCUUGACGUCCCAGGAACUGUCCACUUUGCCUGCUGUCCUGUGCUUGCUCCAGCCAAAGUGCCUCAUUUCCACCGCUUUGGGGAGAAACUCGCCCUUGUGGCCCUGUUGGAAAGCAGAAAUUAAGGAGUUUACAGGCGUGGUGACAGUAGGUGUGGCUUUCUGGAAAUGCGGCCCUCAAGGGCGCCUUUUUCGCAGAGGUGGAAGUUGAGGCAUUGUGAGGCUGGUCAUUGGUUUCCCCAGGAUUUGCUGAGAGCAGAGAACAACCACGAUUCCCAGGCCAGUAUCCACGGGGCAUUCUCACCAACCCAUUCAAGUGCAGGGGCGUCAAGAAAACUCAGCUUCCAUUGACGAGCCUAAUCUCCACUCAGGCCUGACUGGCCAGUGUCUUAGAGACACAGGUGACCCUGAUCCCUCAGGAACAGACAGACUGUGUUCCAGCUUUGGGAGAGCCAUGUGCGAGGUGCAGAGCGCCUGGGCGGCAUUUGAAACCUGUCGGCUUUAACAUCUCUGCUUUGGAAGGAAGCUCAUCACAGACAGCAGUCAGCGAUGUGACUUUGACUUGCCUGGUCUGAUCUGUUGGAUUUUUCUGUCUGGAAAUGGAAAUACCCAGAAGCACUUCUGCUGCCAUUUAUCCUCUUAAUAAUUGACGUCCCUAUAUUCCUUAUGCCCUAAGGGACAGUUCCUUUGAUUGCUGGGUGGUACAGAAGUAAACACAUGUAGGGACGCUAGGUUAUCAAAGCACAUAUUCAUCACGAACACAAUGUGGCCCUACCACACGACAGGAGAUGCGCCUGGAGGACGCGCAGGAGGUGCUACGUUAACAGCGGCGCCGCUGAGCAGCGGAGUUACUGAUCUACUUUAUUUCCAUCUUAAUUUUUCAAAUUUACUACAACAUGAUUAUAAUAAGG